UACGUAGGGGGCAAGCGUUGUCCGGAAUUAUUGGGCGUAAAGCGCGCGCAGGCGGUCUUUUAAGUCUGAUGUGAAAUCUUGUGGCUUAACCACAAGCGGUCAUUGGAAACUGAAGGACUUGAGUGCAGAAGAGGAGAGUGGAAUUCCAUGUGGAGCGGUGAAAUGCGUAGAGAUAUGGAGGAACACCAGUGGCGAAGGCGACUCUCUGGUCUGUAACUGACGCUGAGGCGCGAAAGCGUGGGUAGCGAACAGG
rnacentral:rRNA from 1 species